GACGAACGCUGGCGGCGUGCCUAAUACAUGCAAGUCGAACGCAGUGGGGACGGGUGAGUAAUACGUGGGUAACCGCCCAUCAGAGGGGAUAACACUUGGAAACAGGUGCUAAACCGAUACUGAUGGAUGGACCCGCGGUGCAUUAGCUAGUUGGUGAGGUAACGGCCCACCAAGGCCACGAUGCAUAGCCGACCUGAGAGGGUGUUCGGCCACCCUGGGACUGAGACACGGCCCAGACUCCUACGGGAGGCAGCGGUGGGGAAUCUUCGGCAAUGGGCGAAAGUCUGAUCCAGCCAAGCCGCGUGUGUGAAGAAGGUUUGCGGGUCGUAAAGCACUGUUGUUAGAGAGGCGGUAUCGAACCAGAAAGCCACGGCUAACUACGUGCCAGCCGCCGCGGUAAUAC
rnacentral:rRNA from 1 species